GUCCUACGGGGGGCUGCAGUCGAGGAUCUUCGGCAAUGGGGGAAACCCUGACCGAGCGACGCCGCGUGCGGGAUGAAGGCCUUCGGGUUGUAAACCGCUGUCGUAGAGGAGGAAAUGCAAGGGGGUUCUCCCCUUUGUUUGACCUAUUCUAGGAGGAAGUACGGGCUAAGUUCGUGCCAGCAGCCGCGGUAAGACGAACCGUACAAACGUUACUCGGAAUUACUGGGCUUAAAGGGUGCGUAGGCUGCGCGGAAAGUUGGGUGUGAAAGCCCUCAGCUCAACUGAGGAAUUGCACUCAAAACUACCGUGCUCGAGGGAGACAGAGGUAAGCGGAACUCAAGGUGGAGCGGUGAAAUGCGUUGAUAUCUUGAGGAACACCGGUGGCGAAGGCGGCUUACUGGGUCUCUUCUGACGCUGAGGCACGAAAGCUAAGGUAGCAAACGGGAUUAGAUACCCUUGUAGUCACG
rnacentral:rRNA from 1 species